UUCCCCAAUGCACAGAAACCCCAGUGCAGCCCUGACCCAAGCAGUUGCCCUUCCCAGGUGAGCCGCAGCAGCGAGAUGGCUUCAUUAAUCACUCAUUCCCCAUUACUCACCAUGUCUUCACUGCUGUCGCCUCUCUGUGCUAUGUUUGCUAUGUGCAAAGGAUGCUACAAAUGAGACUAAAAACUCCUUAACUGUGAUUAUAAACAAUGCAGCCUCUGUAAUAAAUGUUUCUAUUUCUAUUUUUUUUCCUAAGUGUCCUUGAAUAGUACCAGUAAUCCACCAUCCCUAUCACAGACUGCAGAAAAGCUACAGAACCUGAGGAGGAAACCAA